CCUUGCCCUCAAGGACCCCCUACCAGUCCAGGGUUUAGGGAUUACCUGGGUGUGUCUAAGGUUUUUUUUUCUUCCCUUUUUCUAAACACCUGAGACACACCCAGGUAAUCCCCAAAUCCUGGACUGGUAGGGGGUCCUUGAGGGCAAGGU